rnacentral:rRNA from 1 species
AGGGGACCAUUUCCCGCCGUUCCUUUUCACAUUGCAAGUCGAACGAACCUUCGGGUUAGUGGCGGACGGGUGAGUGACGCGUGGGAAUCUGCCCUCAGGAGGGGGAUAACGGCUGGAAACGGCCGCUAAUACCCCAUAUGCCGAGAGGUGAAAUGAAUUUCGCCUGAGGAUGAGCCCGCGUCUGAUUAGCUAGUUGGUGAGGUAAGAGCUCACCAAGGCAUCGAUCAGUAGCUGUUCUGAGAGGAUGAUCAGCCACACUGGGACUGAGACACGGCCCAGACUCCUACGGGAGGCAGCAGUGGGGAAUUUUCCGCAAUGGGCGAAAGCCUGACGGAGCAACGCCGCGUGAGGGAUGAAGGCCUCUGGGCUGUAAACCUCUUUUCUCAAGGAAGAAGAUCUGACGGUACUUGAGGAAUAAGCCACGGCUAAUUCCGUGCCAGCAGCCGCGGUAAUACGGGAGUGGCAAGCGUUAUCCGGAAUUAUUGGGCGUAAAGCGUCCGCAGGCGGCCCUUCAAGUCUGCUGUUAAAACGUGGAGCUUAACUCCAUCAUGGCAGUGGAAACUGUUGGGCUUGAGUGUGGUAGGGGCAGAGGGAAUUCCCGGUGUAGCGGUGAAAUGCGUAGAUAUCGGGAAGAACACCAGUGGCGAAGGCGCUCUGCUGGGCCAUAACUGACGCUCAUGGACGAAAGCCAGGGGAGCGAAAGGGAUUAGAUACCCCUGUAGUCCUGGCCGUAAACGAUGAACACUAGGUGUCGGGGGAAUCGACCCCCUCGGUGUCGUAGCCAACGCGUUAAGUGUUCCGCCUGGGGAGUACGCACGCAAGUGUGAAACUCAAAGGAAUUGACGGGGGCCCGCACAGCGGUGGAGUAUGUGGUUUAUUUCGAUGCAACGCGAAGAACCUUUACCAGGGUUUGACAUCCUGCGAAUCUCUUGGAAACGGGAGAGUGCCUUCGGGAACGCAGUGACAGGUGGGGCAUGGGCUGUCGUCAGCUCGUGUCGUGAGAUGUUGGGUUAAGUCCCGCAACGAGCGCAACCCACGUCUUUUAGUUGCCAGCAUUUAAGUUGGGGCACUCUAGAGAGACCGCCUGUGAUAAACCGGGAGGAAGGGGUGGAAUGACGUCAAGGUCAUCAUGCCCCUUAACUUCC